rnacentral:hammerhead_ribozyme from 1 species
GCCCAGUUGACGAGUUCUAAGUAGGACGAAAUGCGCAUCCUGGAU